rnacentral:tRNA from 1 species
GGCGCCUUAGCCAAGUGGGAAGGCAGAGGUCUGCAAAACCUCUAUGCUCCAGUUCGAAUCUGGAAGGCGCCUCCA